rnacentral:rRNA from 1 species
GAUGAACGCUGGCGGCGUGCCUAAUACAUGCAAGUCGAGCGAACGGACGAGAAGCUUGCUUCUCUGAUGUUAGCGGCGGACGGGUGAGUAACACGUGGAUAACCUACCUAUAAGACUGGGAUAACUUCGGGAAACCGUAGCUAAUACCGGAUAAUAUUUUGAACCGCAUGGUUCAAAAGUGAAAGACGGUUUUGCUGUCACUUAUAGAUGAAUCCGCACUGCAUUAGCUAGUUGGUAAGGUAACGGCUUACCAAGGCAACGAUGCAUAGCCGACCUGAGAGGGUGAUCGGCCACGCUGGAACUGAGACACGGUCCAGACUCCUACGGGAGACAGCAGUAGGGAAUCUUCCGCGAUGGGCGAAAGCCUGACGGAGCAACGCCGCGUGAGUGAUGAAGGUCUUCGGAUCGUAAAACUCUGUUAUUAGGGAAGAACAUAUGUGUAAGUAACUGUGCACAUCUUGACGGUACCUAAUCAGAAAGCCACGGCUAACUACGUG